UUUGUCGGAGGAGGAUUGCGUGCUUGUUAUUAUUGUAAUACCGGUUUUUCUAGAGUCCAAUUAUUAUUUUUUGUCAUUUCUUUUCUGAGUGCAUCGGCACUGUUUAUAUCAUUAAUUGUGAAGCUCACCUGUGUCAAAUAUCAAUUGCUAAACAUUUGUGUUGAAUUUCUUUAUUCCGUCAAAUAUGUCAGAUGACUAUUGAAAAUUGAUACGUUGUAAAAUGCCUGCAAUGAUCCACAAAACUGCAUUCUAAUUUUUCAGGUUGUGAUCAACUUUCACUGUCCUCCUUUCAUUUCUGUGAAUACUUUCCUUUUCAUUCUUUUGUCUCAGAAGCUAAUUUUUCAGCCUUCAAAUAACUAACCUUUGUAUAUAUUUUUAUGAAAUAAAUGCUUUAA